UGCGUAGGCGGGUUUCUAAGUCAGAGGUGAAAGCCUGGAGCUCAACUCCAGAACUGCCUUUGAUACUGGAAGUCUUGAGUAUGGCAGAGGUGAGUGGAACUGCGAGUGUAGAGGUGAAAUUCGUAGAUAUUCGCAAGAACACCAGUGGCGAAGGCGGCUCACUGGGCCAUUACUGACGCUGAGGCACGAAAGCCAGGGGAGCAAACG
rnacentral:rRNA from 1 species